rnacentral:rRNA from 1 species
UACGGAGGGUGCAAGCGUUGUUCGGAAUUACUGGGCGUAAAGGGCGCGUAGGCGGCCUGCUAAGUCGGACGUGAAAUCCCCCGGCUCAACCGGGGAACUGCGUCCGAUACUGGUGGGCUCGAAUCCGGGAGAGGGAUGUGGAAUUCCAGGUGUAGCGGUGAAAUGCGUAGAUAUCUGGAGGAACACCGGGUGGCGAAGGCG